GAUGAACGCUGGCGGCGUGCCUAAUACAUGCAAGUCGAGCGAACGGACGAGAAGCUUGCUUUUCUGAUGUUAGCGGCGGACGGGUGAGUAACACGUGGAUAACCUACCUAUAAGACUGGGAUAACUUCGGGAAACCGGAGCUAAUACCGGAUAAUAUUUUGAACCGCAUGGUUCAAAAGUGAAAGACGGUCUUGCUGUCACUUAUAGAUGGAUCCGCGCUGCAUUAGCUAGUUGGUAAGGUAACGGCUUACCAAGGCAACGAUGCAUAGCCGACCUGAGAGGGUGAUCGGCCACACUGGAACUGAGACACGGUCCAGACUCCUACGGGAGGCAGCAGUAGGGAAUCUUCCGCAAUGGGCGAAAGCCUGACGGAGCAACGCCGCGUGAGUGAUGAAGGUCUUCGGAUCGUAAAACUCUGUUAUUAGGGAAGAACAUAUGUGUAAGUAACUGUGCACAUCUUGACGGUACCUAAUCAGAAAGCCACGGCUAACUACGUGCCAGCAGCCGCGGUAAUACGUAGGUGGCAAGCGUUAUCCGGAAUUAUUGGGCGUAAAGCGCGCGUAGGCGGUUUUUUAAGUCUGAUGUGAAAGCCCACGGCUCAACCGUGGAGGGUCAUUGGAAACUGGAAAACUUGAGUGCAGAAGAGGAAAGUGGAAUUCCAUGUGUAGCGGUGAAAUGCGCAGAGAUGUGGAGGAACACCAGUGGCGAAGGCGACUCUCUGGUCUGUAACUGACGCUGAUGUGCGAAAGCGUGGGGAUCAAACAGGAUUAGAUACCCUGGUAGUCCACGCCGUAAACGAUGAGUGCUAAGUGUUAGGGGGUUUCCGCCCCUUAGUGCUGCAGCUAACGCAUUAAGCACUCCGCCUGGGGAGUACGACCGCAAGGUUGAAACUCAAAGGAAUUGACGGGGGCCCGCACAAGCGGUGGAGCAUGUGGUUUAAUUCGAAGCAACGCGAAGAACCUUACCAAAUCUUGACAUCCUUUGACAACUCUAGAGAUAGAGCCUUCCCCUUCGGGGGACAAAGUGACAGGUGGUGCAUGGUUGUCGUCAGCUCGUGUCGUGAGAUGUUGGGUCAAGUCCCGCAACGAGCGCAACCCUUAAGCUUAGUUGCCAUCAUUAAGUUGGGCACUCUAAGUUGACUGCCGGUGACAAACCGGAGGAAGGUGGGGAUGACGUCAAAUCAUCAUGCCCCUUAUGAUUUGGGCUACACACGUGCUACAAUGGACAAUACAAAGGGCAGCGAAACCGCGAGGUCAAGCAAAUCCCAUAAAGUUGUUCUCAGUUCGGAUUGUAGUCUGCAACUCGACUACAUGAAGCUGGAAUCGCUAGUAAUCGUAGAUCAGCAUGCUACGGUGAAUACGUUCCCGGGUCU
rnacentral:rRNA from 1 species